ACCGGUGAUUAGUGGCGAACGGGUGAGUAACACGUGAGUAACCUGCCCUUGACUCUGGGAUAAGCCUGGGAAACUGGGUCUAAUACCGGAUAUGACCUUCCAUCGCAUGGUGGUUGGUGGAAAGCUUUUGUGGUUUUGGAUGGACUCGCGGCCUAUCAGCUUGUUGGUGAGGUAAUGGCUUACCAAGGCGACGACGGGUAGCCGGCCUGAGAGGGUGACCGGCCACACUGGGACUGAGACACGGCCCAGACUCCUACGGGAGGCAGCAGUGGGGAAUAUUGCACAAUGGGCGCAAGCCUGAUGCAGCGACGCCGCGUGAGGGAUGACGGCCUUCGGGUUGUAAACCUCUUUCAGUAGGGAAGAAGCGAAAGUGACGGUACCUGCAGAAGAAGCGCCGGCUAACUACGUGCCAGCAGCCGCGGUAAUACGUAGGGCGCAAGCGUUAUCCGGAAUUAUUGGGCGUAAAGAGCUCGUAGGCGGUUUGUCGCGUCUGCCGUGAAAGUCCGGGGCUCAACUCCGGAUCUGCGGUGGGUACGGGCAGACUAGAGUGA
rnacentral:rRNA from 1 species